GGGAAGACACAAUACCAAUGAGAUAUGAGCCCAACCAUAUAAGAAAUUGACACCACUCUCUACCCAAAACCUUAAGGCAACGGGUUAAUGAGUCUUUCAUCUUUAUAUAGUGCUCUACUUUCUCAUUUUUAUCCAAUGUGGGACUUGGACUCACACUUGCAUGCCCAACAAUCUCCCCCUCAAGGGUGAGUCCCUUCCACAUUGGUACACUCCCC
rnacentral:lncRNA from 1 species